rnacentral:lncRNA from 1 species
UUGAGAGUGGGAUAACAUGACUUCCCAAAUAUAUAUAUAUAUAUAGUUGGAAACAUCUCCGAUGGUUUACAUGGUUUGUGAUUCGGUGUUACAAAGCUAUUUGGGAAUUUAUUGAACCAUAUAAUUAUUAUGAGAUUUUAUUUAGAGUUCAACCAAAUGGGGUAUUUAGCUAAGGAAGGGUUUUAGUGCAAAGUAUGCCAACCCAAUAUGUUUAUUGGAGUUUAAACUAAUUUAUGAAACAAAGGUUUCAUAAUAGAUUUCAAAAUAUAUUUUAUUUAUUACUUAUAAAGCCCUAAUGACAUUUAUAUAAGCAAAAAUAUUUUUAUUUAUUUUAUUUUGGAAGGAAUCAAGUCCCAAAAGCUCACACUUUGGAGGAUUUGAAUUUACAAAUUUUCUGGAGUUUAUUUGGACUUAUUUGGAGAUAAAAACAGAAAAAAAAAGGAAUUGGACCGACCCAACUGGGCCGGCCCAUCUCCCCAGCGCCCAGCCCACCUCCCUCUUUCUUUUUUUUCCCUUUUUUUUUCUUCUUGGGCCGCACCCCUUCUGGCCCAUCUCCCCUAGCGCUCUAGCCCAGCCCAACCGAGAGCGUCUUCCUCCUCUGUUCGUUCUUAGAAGCACGCAGGGGCAGGCAAUGCCGUCACCGCCGGAGAUUCCGCCCCCGACCGUGCCCGCUCGCCCCAAACCCCGUCCAGGUUCACUGAACCGAAUCCCCAGCAUCUCCUCUCCCUAAUCCCCUCCUCAAUCUCCCCCGAAUCACGCCCACUUUCUUCAAUCCCCGUGACCGGCGCCCCGAAUGCCGCCCGUCGACAUUCAAUGCCCGAGCUCCCUCCUCGGCCUAUAAAUGACGAUUCCGAGCGCGUCACUUCAAACCUUUGGCCAUCCUCCCCAUUUUCCUACGGAGAGUUUUUCCUAUAGACCUCGUAGAUCGCAUGUCGUGGCCUUCUUCCUCCGCCGUUCGUCGCUUUCGUUCUCGAAGGUGAGGUCGCUCCAAAGCGCGGUUCGUCGAUUCCUUUCACCGGUGCACUCCCGUGACCAUCUCCUACCUCUUUGACAAGGUUGUUCGAGCCAUCUCCGACGUUGUCUGCGUCUUCGCCGACCGCAAGCCGACGCCGCACCCGGAGCCCCGCCCGUCGCCAUCCGGAG